CGCUUGGCGGGGUCCUAGUCCCCUGACACUUCCUGGCGCCCGCAGCUCUGAUUGGCGGCUGCAGUAGCCUGGGCGGGUCCAGGCGUCUGUCCUAAAGGCGUGGGGUCUCGUCAUCCCCUCCAAGGCUGUCCCCGCUCUCGGGCCCGCCGCGGUCACUGCAGCUUCAGACAGCGGCCGGGUAGGACAGCUCCGAGAAUGAAAAUGUGGUUCUUUGAGUGGAUGGUCUCGUUGAUCCUCGCGACUAUGCUUUGCCAUCAGCCCAGAGGGAAGCUGACAACUGUGAAUCCUGAAGCAUAUAUGAAUGUGGUAAGUUCAAAGUAACCUGCUUUAAAAUGCCUUUGUGACAAGCGUUUUUUCCUUAAAUCCAUUUG
rnacentral:lncRNA from 1 species